rnacentral:rRNA from 1 species
UACGUAGGGGGCAAGCGUUGUCCGGAUUUAUUGGGCGUAAAGAGCGUGUAGGCGGCCAGGUAGGUCCGCUGUGAAAACUCGAGGCUUAACCUCGAGACGCCGAUGGAAACCAUCUGACUAGAGUCCGGAAGAGGAGAGUGGAAUUCCUGGUGUAGCGGUGAAAUGCGCAGAUAUCAGGAAGAACACCCGUGGCUAAGGCGGCUCUCUAGUACGGUACUGACGCUGAGACGCGAAAGCGUGGGGAGCGAACAGG